rnacentral:rRNA from 1 species
CCAAGGGCGGCCGGCGAGGUGCUGCAUGGUUGUCGUCAGCUCGUGCCGUGAGGUGUCGGGUUAAGUCCCAUAACGAGCGCAACCCCUACCGUUAGUUGCCAGCGGGUCAAGCCGGGAACUCUAACGGAACUGCCAGCGUAAGCUGUGAGGAAGGCGGGGAUGACGUCAAAUCAGCACGGCCCUUACGUCCAGGGCUACACACGUGUUACAAUGGCCGGUACAGAGGGCAGCCACCCCGCGAGGGGGCGCGAAUCCCGAAAGCCGGUCGCAGUUCGGAUCGGAGUCUGGAACCCGACUCCGUGAAGCUGGAUUCGCUAGUAAUCGCGCAUCAGCCAUGGCCGCGGUCGAAUACGUUCCCGGGCCUU